rnacentral:rRNA from 1 species
AACGAACGCUGGCGGCAUGCCUAACACAUGCAAGUAGAACGAACCCUUCGGGCCUUGUGUUGCUAGGCUGCGUACCGUGAGGUAACCUGGCCUUAGGUACGGGUAAAUUACCUGCCUGGGGUGCUAAUAUCGGUUAUUGUCUUGGGAGCAAAGAUUUAUUAGUAUUGGUUGGUCCAUCGUAGGUUUCGCAAGUUGGCAGUGUAACAGCCUACCAAGGCGCCGAUCCAUAGCUGGUCUGGGAGGAUGAUCAGCCACACUGGGACUGAGACACGGCACGGACUCCUGGGAGAGGCAGCAAGGGUGAAUAUUGGACAAUGGGCGAAAGCCUGAUCCAGCAAUGCCGCGUAAGUGAGUAAGGCCUGAGGGUUGGAAAGCACUGUUACCCGGUAUGAUAAUGACAGUACCGUAAGAAUAAGCGCCGGCUAACUCCGUG